rnacentral:lncRNA from 1 species
GAAACUUGGAUGGAGUCUGAUUACUGUAGAAAUCUCAUUGUCAGAGAAGCUCGGAUAUUGAUAAAGUCCGAAAGAAGUUCAGAGAAUAGUUGAUCACUGUAGAAGGUCGGCUGAUAGUGAGGCCCAGAGAGCCUUUGGAGCGGUCCGGUAGAUGGAUGGAGAAGUUCAUCGUCGGAGAAGUCCGGACGGUAUUAUGGAAGCUCGGACGGUCGAGGAGAUUCAGAGAGAUGCCACACA